rnacentral:lncRNA from 1 species
GAGCAUGGAGGGGGCAGGUUACGGCAGCGCAACGGAGCAGGAACGAGGGGGAAUCGGAGGCGCCACUCACAGCGAAGCUCGAGGAGGGCUCGAUGAAGCCGGAUGGGUCGAGGGUGAGCAGAUCGACGCAUCGAACACCGACGACCGGAGGUAGGAGACGAUGCCGAUCCUGCGCUGUGUUGGUCCCCGGCUCGAGUUCUUCUGCGUAGAUGAAGAAGAGGAGCACCGCGAUUCUCCUAGAUGUCUCCGUGCGGCGCGGGAUAGCUGGUGGCCGCGGGAUCGACGACGGCGCGUCGGCGACCGCGCUCGGGCGAACGAGGCAGAGAGUGGGGAAACAGUGCAGGGAAAAGAGGGCGGACGGAGUCUAGGUCACACGGGGGGAGGCCUGCGCGGCUUUUGUAGGCAAGGGGGAGGCAGUGGAUGCCCGGCACAUGGCCGGCGUCAUGGCAGAUGGCCUCCACGCCCUCUGCCUCUACUGUAGGUUGGGGAUGGCAAGGGGGUGGGCUGGGCCAUGCGCACACUAGAGCCCACUUGGACAGUACUCCCUCCGUUCCAAAAUAUAGCGCGUCCUCGGUUUCCGUGCUUCAACUUUGACCAUUAAUUUAAUCAACAAGACCGACUGCGGCGGGCGAAAAAAUUAUACCAAAGAAUUCGUAUUCAAAAAAAGUUUUUAAUUAUAUAAUUUUUGAUCCCGCCGCAGUCGGUCUCGUGGGUUAAAUUUAUGGUCAAAGUUGAACCUCAAAAAGCGUGGGCGCGCUAUAUUUUGGAACGGAGGGAGUAUUAGUUUAGGCCUUUACUCUUUUUUUUGCAUUUUCUUUUUUUCCUUUUCUCACAUUUUAUUUUCUAUUUUCCAUUUUUGCUACACUUUUCUAUUUGAAUAAGCUUUCAAACCAUUUUUGUUGGACAUGGAAUUUGUCCUGCAAUUACUAGAGAAUAAUUUGAGCUAGGACAAAAAGUCUCGGGGCAAAAGGAGUUAAAUAAAUAAUUGUUUAUUUUGAAAAGGUCAAUUUAUUUGUUGUUCGAUCACUUAUAAUAUUUCUAGGGCAUCUUAGUGAUCCAACCAGAGUUGAUUUCUCCAAGAAAAAUACUUGGGGAUUAUUUGCAACAUCACGAACAUUUUUGUUCGCAUGACAGAAGA